AUAUUAAAGCACACACACAAAUGAAUAGAAAAAUAAUAGAUACAAAAAAAACAAUUACAAAAUAUCUGAUUGGUUAAGAUAAUGGGGCCAAUCAAGUUUAAGAAAAAAAAGAUGUGGCCAAUCACAUUAAAGGGUGCAGAUCACUCAUUGUGUAACCACAACCAUUGAUGAAAGUUAAUCUAACGGACACAAAUGCACAGAUGUUAGAAACAUUUUUUUUUCUUCCAUCUCCUCCUUCUUUUUCUUCCACCGUGACUUUUCUCCUUCCUUUUACAGUGAAAAAAAUCUGGAUUCUCAAUCAAUCUCUCUUUCUCUUCAUACCUUUUGCCAUCUUAUGUUAUUUCUCUCAUCAAGCAAUCGAAUUGUUCAAGUUCCCCGUCUCAGGUAGCUUACCACCCCGCCUCUGUUGGAUUCUCGACUCGCCUCUGUUGGAUUCUCCUUAAUUUGUUCAGUUUCUUCCUUCUUUGACUUCAAUGAAAGCGGAGAUGGUGAAUCCUCGGAAGCUGCGUCGAAGGAGGCGCACGGAAGCUGUAGUGGGGGAGACCCUGAGGCCGGAAGCAGAGACGACGGCGUCUCCGGUCAAGGAUGGAGAAAGCCAGGCACACUGGUUGAGGAGGCACACAUGGAGAAGGGCGGCUGGAGUUUUUGUUUUUUAGGUUUAGUGUUUUUUUUGUUUAGGGUUUUCCGGUUUAGUGUAAACCGAAUUGGAUAAACCGUUGUGGUGUACUUUAUUUUUAUUUUUUCUGGUUUAGUUUUGUAAACCGGAAUUUAUUUAUCAAUAAAUUUAAUUUUAUUUUUAA